rnacentral:rRNA from 1 species
CAGUAGCCGCGGUAAAACGGAGGGUGCAAGCGUUAAUCGGAAUUACUGGGCGUAAAGCGUGCGUAGGCGGUUCGUUAAGUCUGUUGUGAAAGCCCCGGGCUCAACCUGGGAAUGGCAAUGGAUACUGGCGAGCUAGAGUGUGUCAGAGGAUGGUGGAAUUCCCGGUGUAGCGGUGAAAUGCGUAGAGAUCGGGAGGAACAUCAGUGGCGAAGGCGGCCAUCUGGGACAACACUGACGCUGAGGCACGAAAGCGUGGGGAGCAAACAGGAUUAGAUACCCGCGUAGUCCCUGUCUCUUAUAC